GAUCAAUGAUGAAAAUUAGCCAAAUCUGAGUACUUGGGCAGUACCUGUCUCAGCCUGUGA
ensembl:snoRNA